AAGUGAUGACUCGAUACCCAGGCCAUCUUACUCGUUGUCCGACCGCCGCACCCGGGCCGGAAUUCAUGUAUUCGCCGUAGUAUAAUGUAUCUAAAGCGAAUGUUCCACUCCAUUCUAACCAUCCCCUUGAGUGAACGUGGUUGCCCAUGUAUGAUAACAUGUAUACGGUCCUUGAAUAUAGCUUCCACGGACGGCCUAGGUAUGUUGGGAAGCUUGAUUUGGCGGCGGCGAGGUCCUGUGUGGGUAUGAUUCGACAUGCAUGGAUUGAAAUACCGGUGUUUUGGUUCGGGUCUUUUCGGUUUUGGGCUGUGAUGGUGUUUUUUUGUUGGGGCAUGGGUUUCCGGGCGUAAAGGCUACAGUUUUGGAGUACUACGGCGGCGUUACCGAAAAUGAAAUCAACUGUUCCGUAAACAUCGCAUUCGCGGUAGAAUUGACGGUUGGAGUGGACGUAUAAAGUGUCUUGGUAACCGAUGAUGUUGCACCUGUAUACGACGGCGUGGUCAGCUCCGACUCUAAGAGCCACUGCUUGGUGCUUGGCGGGUCCGGCAUAGUUCUCGAAUGUCAUGUCCCUUGCAAUAAAACCAGCCCCAGUUGCCGCUGAAAGUGAAAACAAACCAAUGAAUGAUACAGCUUUCUUUGAAAAUGAAGCAAAUUAGAACGAGAUUAGCUACGAAAUUUGUGGGAUCUUUUUUUUCGCUUUGAUAAUAAUAAUGAUAACAUGACAAUUAAUUAUGAUACGAAUAAUAGAUACAAAAAGAACAAAUUAAAUAUUGCAUAAUAUAUGACCACUUUAUAAACGAAAAAACCAAUUUGGACAAUCCCUACCUCGAUUUUUAUUAAAAUAAAAUAACACAAGGUUUGUAAUUUCCAAUUGUAUGGACAAGACGUAGAUAAGGUAAAGUGGCUGCAAGAAUCUAGGGCUUUGUCUGUCUAAUAACAUCCCACGUGCGAAUUCUAACAUCAUGCACCAUGGACAAGCUUAAUGGUUUCGGUCCAAUAGUUUACUAUUUUAUUUGAUAAUUUAAUUAUUUUAAUUAUAGUAGAAUAUUGUAUAUUUUGUGGAGGAAAUAAAAUAAGAAGGGUGAAACUGACCAAAGGCAGCAGUGUGGAAAGUAGUCAUGUGCUCAGCUACACUUUUUCCUCCUGUAAUCACUGUUUUACCUUUUCCGUCACCUAUAAACAUCAAGUUUAUUUUCUUCCUCCCCACCUUCAAAUUAUCCUCUUCGUACCUGUAAAAAUUAUAUUUAUCAUAAAAAUUUAAAAAAUAUUUAAUUAUCCAAAAAGAAUAUUACAUCACACAUAAUUAGAUAUUUUUAAUCUGUAAAUAUCAAUAACAGUAACGUAAAGGUGAUGUCAGAAAAGCCAAAAGGGAAAAAGUUUGUAAUAAAAUUUAACUUUUUUAUCAUAACGGAAAAUUUUACCUUCCUGCCUUCACGUAGAUGAUGAUCCGACGAGUACUAUGCUCCGGCGCCUUUUUAAUCGCCUCAGCAAUCGUUUUAACGGUGCCGCUUCCAUCUUUCGAGACGGUUAUAUCGGCCUGGAUCCCCGACACGGGCUUGUUCAGCAGCUCCCUCUCUUUUCUCCCCAGCCAUUUCGGGAAAUUCUCCUCGUCGACAUUCCCUCCCGAUAAAUCGUCAUCCGCCGAUAGCAGCCUCCGGUUCUGAAUAGGAACUCCGGCGAAAUCGUCUCCGCCGCUCGCAGCGAAGAUCGACAGGCAGUUACUUACCAGCUCCGACAAGUCCUUCAGUUUGUCAGUCACUUGAUCCUUCACCGUCCCGCUCACUCCAUCGAAUCCCUCCGUACACGUGUCAUGGUUCGUCAGCGCGGCGCUGAGCCACGUCAUCACGUCCUGGGGUGAUCCUCCGCCAUUGUUUCCGCCGUCCUGGGAGGGAAUGAUGGACGACAGGGAACGGGAGAGCGCGUCGACGGAAUCAUCCAGAAGCUCGAGGCAAUCGUCGUACGCCGACCGUACACGUGGAUCCAUCUGGACGAAUGAGAUCGAGUUGGCCAGAUAAAGCGCUUUACUAAAGUGCUGCAGCGUCAUAUUGAAUGAAAUGUGAACCAGGUCUUGCUCAUUAGCAGUGAGCGAGCCAGGGAACUCGAGGAGUGAGUUGACACAGAGGUUCGGGAACCGAGUCCUACUACAAGUUUUAGAAAUAGCUUGUGUCGGCUUACGUCGGACUUGGGUACCGACAGGAUCAGCACCGGCUUCACGGAGACCAAUCACGAGUCCGGCACAAACAGCCGAGGCAACGAUCAUCGUCAAUGCAAUAACCGAAAGAAUAACGAUCUUUCUCUUGUUGUUUUUGGCUUUGGGUUCUUCAUGAUUUUGUUGCUGAGUAACUCCAGAGCUGCCGGGUUCAGAUGGUCGGAGCCUGUCAUACGCCAUUGCUGUUCCUUUUUCAGGUGGUGGCUGCAAAAAUCAGUAACAAAAUGUAGAUAGCAACAAAAAAAAGGCUAUUAAUAUCACUACAACAAUAUAAUAAGAGUUAAAUGAGAGAGAUGGAUUAUAUAAAAGAAAAAAAAAAGGUGGAAGUGAGUGAGUGUGUGCGAGAGAGAGUAAUAGAGAAGGUUGGUGUUAGGUCCAUGUCGUAAAGCAUGAGCUGUCUUCUACUUUCAGCUCUUUUGCCCAUUGGAGGGGAUGAGCUAUAAACCAUUUUAACUCCCCUUUUAAAAACUCGUAUUUUUUAAAUUUAUAUGGAUUUAUAUUUUUUUUAUACAAUAGUUCAUAAAUUUUAACAAAUACUCACUGUUUCGAGUCUAGCGGUGAUUUAUCAGAUUUUAUAUUAUAUUUAAAUAGGUAAAUGUGUCCCUCUAUUCAAAAAAAUACGCUAAAUUGAUUAUUGUAUAUUAGUUGAAAAAAUAAAUUAAUCCUUUUUAUUAAAAAAAUCAUUUAUUUGUAUUGCUAAAAAUUAGUGUGGUAGAUGAAAUAAGUACCUCAUAUUAAGACCAAUUUUUAACAAUACAAAUGGAUACAAUUUUUAACAGGAUAACCAGUUUACUCUUUAAUCUAACAUGUAGGGACUAUUUUAUCUAUUUUUUGAAUAAAUAAAAUAAAAUACAAUCCAACUUUUAGUACAUGAUCCUCUACAAUAUUUUUACCUAUUUAAAUUCAUUCUUUUUUAUUUUUAUGAUCAUCUUUUGGAUAUUAAAUAAUAAAAAAAAGGUGGAUGUGGAAAAUAAUAUAUAUAUACACAUUUAUCUGAUUCAUUAUAUGAAUGAUUUUAUUUUGAAAGGAUAUAUGAAUAAUUUAAGAGAAGAAAGUUAACGAGAACUUUUUGCAUGCUUUUAAAAGCAAUUAAGUAAAUGACUUAAUUAACAAGUUUGAUAAAUGCGUGGAUUUGUUCCAUAAAAUGUCAGUUAGUUAUGAACAUCAUUCGACUUAAAAGAUGUUUUUAAUAUGAUUUCACCUUUUCGUUUUCUGAUAUAUCUUUCCGACAGUAGUUGGGUUUUUCUGAUGGCAUAAAAGUGUUUGUGCUUUCUUGUAAUGACAAAAUCUGAUGUCAAUCGUAUUCUACAGGUAUAUAUACAUAUUUUGUUUAAUACUGUACGGGAAUUGUAAUAUAAUUAAUAAGGUGUACUAUAUAAUAUAUUUAGAAAACCAUAAAUAUAUAUAUAUGCCACACGUAUUUUUCAAAGGGUUUAUAUAAAUUUGAUUUUUUAACUUUGUAAUUAGGUCCAUUUUAGUAUUUUUAUUUUAUAUUCAUUUUUGUACUUAAAUUUGAUAAUUAGAUUUAUUUUGGUCUUUGAACUUCAAAAAAAAAAAAACUUGUUGUGUGGCACUAUGAGAUUGUGACACAUCAUCACUUGAAAAUUAAAAAUUUAUAUAAAUUUCCAAGUAAUGAUGUGAUACAAUCUUAUAGUGUCACGUGCGGUAUUCGAAUAACCGGACCGAUGAUUAAAUCGGUUAGACCACUGGUUUUCGAUUCAUUCGAUUUGAUCAGUUCAACCGCUAGACCAAUAAUAAAUAAAUUAUCUUUUCAUUUAAUUAGUUCAACCUAUUCAACUAUUGGCUUUUUGUCCCAAUUUUCAUUUUUCCCCGCUUUCGAGCAAUUCCCAAUUCAACCCUUUGCUUGGACAAAUAUAGUGGUUGAUUCCUAGUCCAAUCAAUUCGACGGCCAAUCUAGUCUUGUUCGAAGAACACCAAUUACAUCACCAAAUCUUGACAAAAUAUAAGUUGAGGGACCAAAAUGGAUAUGAUUACCAAAUUCAGAGACCAAAAUGAACAAAAAAAAUUACAAAUACUAAAAUUGGACUUAAUCGACUCCCUUUUAAAACAAUGAAAACUUACUUAUACAUAUACAUUUUUAAUUUCUAUAAAAUUCAUAUUUUUAUUUUCUUAAUUGACUCCCCUUUAAAAAAAAUGUUAUAAAUUGUAUAGAAUUAUAAAAAUAUGUCAUUUCAGACUAAUACAUAUAUAAAUAAAGACUUUAUUUAAAAAAAGUGCUUGGUAGUGUUCUUUUUUGCUUUAUGCCCUUCUUGGGAAGGGAAAUAAAGUAAUUAAGCAAAUAAUAUAAUUUAGUGGUUCAUCAAGAUUAUUAUCCAAACAUGUUCUAAGAAUAAGAAUAAGACUUUUUUUUUUUUAAGAAUCUCAAUUUAUUUAAUUAAAUAAAAGAAUAUUUUAAAGUUCAAUUGGAUAGUUCUUCAAAAAAUAUUCAAUUGGAUAAUAUAAAAAUAAACCCAAUGAUUCGUUUACAUAUUUUAACUAUAUAACAUUUUAGGUUAUUAUCUUUGUGGGUAUGAUAUAAAAUAAAAUGUAUAAAGUGAAAUAUUGAUAGUUUUAAGCUUUAUAUUUAAAAUUUUUAAUAUAUUUUUAAUUAAUAAAAUAUAUAUGUACCAAUUAUCAAAUCUAACCAAAAGUGUUAUGGAUCUAUAAAUGUCAUGUAAUAAUCAUAUAUUUUUGUAAGAAUAAAAAGAAAAAAGAGAAUUUCUUUUUUUUUUUUCUUUGGCCAACAUAAAAUGAAUUCCUUUUCGAAAAGAAGAGCAAAAGGGAAGAAAAAUAUUUGGGAAAGAGAAGAGAAUGUUCCAUUAACGAAUAUUUGAUUAAACUUAUUCGAAAAAAAAUGAAUGCGAAAAGGACGAAUGUAAAAUAAAAGGAAACUUUCAUAGUGAAUGUUAUACAUCCUUAAUUGAUGUUGAAUUUCGAGUUUAAAUUUAUUUUUAUUUGAAUUUAAUUCGGUAAGAUUAUGACCCUAGCAGUUAAUCUUAUGGUAAUUUAUAUAAAUAAGAUAUUUUUUGUUACUUUUAUUUAAAAAUGGACAAUUAGUCUCUGUAUGUUAGAUCAAAGAGUAAAUCCAUCAUUUCUGUUAAAAAUUUCAUCCAUUUCUACUGUUAAAAACUGAUGUAAUUGACGAAAUAGCCAGAAAGUUACACAUGACAUGAUACAUAUAUGAUAUACCUCAUGUUAACGUACAUGGAUUAAUUUUAACAGUAGAAAUUGAUGAAAUAUCUAAUAAAAGGCCAUGCCUGCUCCUUGAUCUUACAUAUAAGGACUAAUUUGUCUAUUUUCUGAAUAGAGUGAGCAGAAUGCAAUUUGAAUCCUAAUACAAUCUUAUUUGUAUUGAUACACAUUUUUAUAGUUUUUAAAAAUUAAACCAAAAAUUUAUGAGUUGGGAGGGAAGCAAACUAUAAUUUACCGUAUAUUAUAUUAAAAUAAGUCCUUGAAGAUCAUUUACAUAAAAAGAAAAAAAAGAAAAAGAGAGAGUAGAACUUAGUUAAAGAAAAAUUCCUUGAAAAUAUAAAACAACAAUUUAGUUAUUAGUCCUUGAAAAGCUCUUAACUUUUCAUUCUGGUCAACCUUUUCUUUCCCCUUCUACUGAAAAUUCCUUUGUAAAUAAAGUUAAAUUAAUACAAGCAGUAAGACUGUAAGAGCUAAUAUGAAAAGAAAAAAAAAAGAGAAGGGGACCCAUUGAUAAAGUGAGAAAACGAGCAUCCCACCGACAGUUUUUUAGUGGAUAAAUCACAGAAACUGAAUUAUUUAUAAAAUAAUAAUUAAAUAACCUUUAAUCAAAUGUUUAUAUUAGUACUUACGGGUAUCUGGUAGCAGUAACAGACUUGAUAAUAUCGUAUUUAUAUAUUUUUACAUAAUAAUAUUCAAUUUAAUUUAUAUUGAUAUUAAUUUUGAUAAAUCAAUAUUUAUAUAUUCAUUUAUAUAUUUUUUAAGAUAAUUAUUUAGUACACUGUCAUGAUUUUUUUUAUUUCUCAUUGUAUCUAUUGGAGCGAGUUCAAUAACUAAAGCUUCACAUUUUUUAGGCCCAUUAAGAGUAGAUGUUGGUCAUAAGUUUUAAAGCUGUUCCAUACUUAGGGCGGUUAACAUAGGAGAGACCAUUGCCAUCUCACCUAACUCUCAUGGUUACUGUCAUGAAAAUUUUUAACUCUAAAUGUAAGUCGGGAUUUUUCUCUAUGUCCUUAAGUUGUACUUAAAAUAUUAAGACAUGAUAAAAUCCCAAUCUUAUUUAUGCAGUUAAAUUUAUCAAUUGUCGGUGUGCCAAAUAAUUAGCUUUUUAUAUUAUAUAUAACCAUAUAUAUUAUGAUUUUUUGCACUUUAAUUAGUCAGUCCAUCUUUUCUCGGUUAGAGUAUUAUAAAGGUUGUAAAAAUUGACGAAAUUUUUAACCGUAUAAUCAAUUUACUAUUUAAUUUAACUUACAUAAACUAAUUUAUCGAUUUUUUAAAUUAAAAAAAAUACAAACUAACUUUUAUUUGCCCUUUAACUAGUGUACUCUUUUGCACAUCAAAAACAUUGAAUUUACAAACACAAAGUAUUUCUAGAAAAGAAAAACACACACAGAGCAAAGUUGUCAGAAACUAAGAUGAUGUCGUGUCAACAACAUGCUUAGUAUGUAAGAAACAAAUAUUACAUUGGGUACAUUGUACAACAUUCAGUCUUUUUGUAAAUACAUGGUAUGGUUCCAAACUUUUACUUUUGUUGGCUUUUUUUUUUUUUAAAUUUUGUUACAUUUUUUCUUUAAUAUUAUUUUUUCAUGAAAUGUUUAAUAGUAUCUUAAAUCGAUUGAUAUUUUAUUAUUUUUAUAAAUAAGUUUGGGAUUUAAUUUUGCAGCCACAAUUUAAUUUAGAUUUGCUGCACAUGAAAAAAAUCAUCUUUUUACAUAAAAAUUAUAAGUUUUUAUAGCAUUUGUUAUGACAUUAUUAUAGCAGUGUAAAUAUAGUCAAUAUUGACUAAUCAAUUGGUUUGAAAACCAUUAAUCAUUUUAUUUAAACAUUAAUUAUUUGUUUUUGUUAAUUUUGUCCUGCAUACUGUCCAAAGGUAAUUUUGAAGUCUUUAUUACUAAUUUAAAUUACUUGGUGAUAAGUAGGAAUGAAAUUAGGAUAAACUAUUUUGAGGCCCCAAUAUAAAUAGUAAUAACACUUGUUGGCAAAAAAAUUUUAAAAUAUCGGGAAAGUCAUUUAUAAGUGACUUGGUAGGGCUCAAUUGGGAAACAGAGCUCAAUUUUGAAAUUGAAAUGGACUUAAAAGAGGCAUUUAGACAAAACAAUUGGGAAAUAUGCUCAAUUUAUCUAAUUUUAGCUUUGACAGGGACCUAAAAGGCAUUUAAACUAAAAAAAAUUGAGGGAGUCAAGGCUCAAUUUGUCCAGUUUCAAAACUAGGAGGGAUCUAAAGGCGUUUAACUCCCAAAAUUGAUGGAAGGCAUGGCUCAGUUUGUCGAGUUUCGAAAUUAGGAGGGACCUAAAUUUAACCCCAAAAAGUUGGGGGGCAAGGGCCACCACUGUCCAUGUAGUUUCGUCGCUAAAAACUCUUCUAUUUUAAAAAUAAACACAAUAUUCUUUUCAUAUUUUUUAUAUAAAAUUUACAAAAGAUAAUUUAUAUAUAUUAUAGACGUAAAAUCAUUCUAGUCAUCAUUGAAAAGACACUGAAAACGAAGAAGAUUCCCGCUACCCUUCCUCUUUCUUUAAGUCAAAUCACUUUUAACUCGGAAAUGUAUUCUUGUAAUGCGUUAAUAUAUAAUGUGGUACUUAUAUUUGGCUCUGAUAUUUAAUUUGAUACUUAAGUAUAAUUUUUAUAUUCAAUUUAGCACCCAAAUUAAAAAAUAUCACGUGGUUCAAUAAAUAUUGACAUGUGUGCUUUAGUAAUAAAAAUUAUAGGUAUUUAAUUGGGACAAAAUAGAAACUUAAGUACCAAUUUAAACAGUGAAGUUAAAUUUAGGUAUUGUAUAGGACAAAGAAAAAUUCAAACACCAAACUGAAUAUUAAAAUUAAGGUAAUAAAUUGGGACAAAAAAAUUUAGGUAUCAAAUAAUAUAUUAAUUAUUUUUAUAUAACAAAAUUAUGAGAAUUUAAAUGCUAUCACUUUGAUUGUAAGAGCCAAAUUAAUAUUGUACGUACAUGUAAAAAGAUGCUUUAUUUUUUCUUUAUGAUUACACCUUUGUCAUUUUUCAAUCCUCAAGACUCAUCUUUUCUUUUCACUUUUCUCUCUCUUUCUAUGCCAUUUCAAAUUCCGAAUCUUUCUCUCUAAAAUCUGUUUUUUUUAUUUAUUUAUUCUUUAUUUAGGAAAUUGAAUACUUUUCGUUAGAACUAUAUAUAUUAUGCAUAGCAAGUUGUACAUGGUGAGGCUAAACAGAAAUAGGAACUCCUUCAUCUUCAACAAACUUAUCGACUUUUUUAAUGAAAACAAGAAUAUUAAUUGUUACUUUUUCAACGUGUCAGUAAUUCUAUAGUAAAAGUGUCAUAGAAACCCUUGUAUUUAGCCAUAAACAUCCUUCACAACGAUGGGAAAGGGGUCUACCUCUCCACUAGUAACCUUGAGCACUUACUUUCUAUACUUAGGUUUAUCAACCUUCACAACAAUCUUCCUCCUCCUCUUGUCCCUCUCCGACUCUCCGUCUGUUUAAGUGAAUUGUCCCCCUUUGCACCACUACCUUCUCCUCAUUGUUUCGUCUUUUGUUGAUACCCCUCAUCAAUAAUAAAAAAAUAUUUUGAAAACUAAAUAAUAUCUAAAAGCCAUAAAAUAAAAUUAGUUUUACCUAAUAAGUCCAAAAACCCAAAAUCUAAAACUAGCACCGAAUUUUCAUAGACUUCUUGAAAUUUCUAAAAAAUUCGAUUAAACUAAACUGAAUUCACCCCUAAUGUUAGACCCUUUUGAUUAAACGGAAUAAUAACAACUUCGAUCCCUCUCAAUUCACAAUAGUUUAAUUUAAAUCCUUUUAAAAUAUUGAAAUUUCUACCUUUGACCCUCGCACUUUUGUAAUUUUAUUUUAACCUCUAAUACCAACUUCCUAAAUUCCCCCUCAAUAUCAAAUUAUAUAUAUAUAUAUAAUGCCUUUUUCUUUCACAAAAACUCUUGCACAGUGUUUGUUUGUAUUUGAAGGAGGACUUAAAUGUUAAAAUUCAUCUAUUACAGACCAGCCGAAAAUGUACUUGGGGCGACAAGUUCUUUUGUUUCUCCAACUUUGAAUGACUCACAAAAUUUGUCUUCUCUCUUCCUUUUUUGUCCAUGACUAGUUGAAGAGUGUUUAUUUUCAAUGCAUGUAUAGUUUAGGAAAAUACACUUUCUAUAUUUGUUUUCAAACUUUUCAAUGCAUAUGUAGAUUCAUUAUAUACGUGAGUAUAAUUUCAACACUUCCUAAAUGUGAAAAAAAAUAUACAUAUCUCACACUUCUAAAAAAAAUGCCCUUGACUUGUUCCAAUUCACGAUUAGACAUUUAACUAAGAGUUCCUUUGCAUCCACGUUUAGCAUAGUACAAUGCAUUUUCUAUUGAUUUCUGUGCAAUCGUAGCACAAAACUUCCUUUACAUGACAAGGCUUUAGUGCAGUGGAAUGGAAUAGAUUGGGCCACACCCCAAAAUUUUCAUUGCUCCAUUUAUGUCCAGUUGAAUAUUCAAAGCUGCAAACGCAACUUACAUACUUUUAUUUUGUCCAUUUUCAUUUAUUUAUAAAUUGAAUAAAGAAAAGUAAAAAAGCACGUCGAAAGAAAAAUCAAUAUUUUAUUAUAAAUUUACAUUCUAAUAUUUUAUUAAAUGAAGUUAUAAAUUCACAUAUAUUUAAUAAUAUUGUAAAAGUAAAAUAAUUUAAAAAAAUUCUAUUAUAUAUAAUUUUUAAUCUAAUAUCUUUAAUAGUCACCUCACAGCUAUAGUUGUGUUUGAAUCCAAACUCAUAUCUGAAUCCAAACCCAUAUCUCACCGAUGUUUCUAAUCUCAUUACUACAGUAUCAAAUCUCAUCGCUACAAUAACUAAUCUCACUGUCACUACUGUUUUUUAUAACCUUACUAGAGGUAAACGCAUUGCCCAUCCAAACUAAUCCUAAUUGUACCAUUAAUUAGGAGGAAAAAGGUAGGUAAAAACACCUUUUUGGUUCCUCUCAAUUUCAAUAUUGAACAAAUUGGUCCCUUUCAAAAAAAACUAGAACAAUAUAAUUUCUAACAGUUUUGAAAGUGAGAAACUAAGGAUAAUUAAUUAUAAUGUUGAUGUUUUCCGUCACUUGUACAUUAUUUUGGUUAGUAUAAUAACAAAUUUAGCCAUCAAUGCUUGUAUAUUUUGUGUAAAUAUUGCAUGAUAAAUUUGUUGAAUUAGAACCAAUUUGAUAGCAUGUGUAAAUGUUGCGGGCUAAAUUUGUUAAAUCAAGACUAAUUUGACAGAAAGUAUAAACUUUGAAGGCGAAAUUUGUUAUUAUACCAGUAAAAUUGACGAAAAAAACACUAACGCUGUGAUUAAUUAUCAUUAGUUGCUCACUUUCGAGAUUAGCAGAAAUUAAAUUACUCUAUUUUUUUAAAAGGGAUCAAUUUGUUCAAUAUAAAAACCGAGAAAGACCAAAGAAAUCUUUUUACCUAAAGAGUAUUAUGUUGCAAAAUAUGUGGUUAUUUGAACUGAAGCACAAAUAGAACAAAAGGGGAAGGGGGUGGGGAUACAAAUUAUCCAAAUGGAAAAAGAAAAAAAGGGGGAAAUGUGGUGCAAAAUUUAAGGUCCACACGCGUUAGAAAAGGGGCAGAAAAACAAAAGUCCAAAAUGAGAAGGCAAAUGAAGUAAUGAAGCAAGUGGGUACUUCCAUGGUGGUAGGAGACAAAGGACCUUUUUUUCCCUAACACUAAUCACAUUAUUUGUACUACCAAUAGGCUGCCUAGCUAUUUUGCAUUUCCAACCAUCACUUUCUCGUUACCUUUUUCCUUAAUUUUUUUUUUCAAUUUGAUUCUAUUAAUACAUUUAAAAUACUUAUCUUUCCGAAAUUUACUACUAUUUUUAGGGUUUAACAUUGAUGGAUUAUAUCGGGUAUUAAAUGAAUAUCUAAGUGGAGCCAGUAUUAAAUGUGGGAUCCAAAGGGUACGAAAUUUCAAUCACCAAUUAAAUGUUGAACCCCAUCCAAAUUAGUACUCUCAAAAUCCAAAUCUCAUGCACCAUAAAGGGUUUUUGUGGAAAAACUUCUCCAAUUAAACAUCUAAUCUAAUCUGUGUGCCAACUACCAAUCACCCAUGUUCGACAUGCCACUAUAAUAAUUUCCUAUUCUUUCUCCAAUAAUUUGUUUGUUAACCAUCAUCAAUGACACACAUGUAAUGUUCUUAUUUACAACUUUUUUUCAUAUUAAGAUAAAUUGAGACCAAAAUAAUAAUCGUAAUACCGAAUUAAAAUAAAAACAAUUCACAUACUAAAUUGAAAAAAAUAUAUAAUUCAAGACUAAAUUGAUAAAUAUUUUUUAUAGCAAUGAUUUGACUCUUAUUUCCCCUUUAAUGUUCUAAAUUACUAUAAAAAAUCUAGUUAAUAUUGUCUACCAAAUAUGAUGAAAAUUGAUGUAGGGUACAAACAUUGAGAAAGUUGACUAGAUAGCCCUCACCGGUCAACCCUAUGAGCCUUGAGGCGGGCGAAUUUAGGUGGUGGUCCUCCAAAAUCGUUAAAUUCCUUCCUAAGUCGUUUAAAGAUAUUAAUUUUUUUCAAAAAAUUUAGUAGUAAAAAUUGAAUUAUAAAUUUUAAAAACUUAUAUAAAAAAGGUUAAAAUAUGAUAUAAGUUUUUAUACUUUCGAAUAUUUAAAAUUUAGUUCUUAUAUUUUUAUUUUUAAAAAUUUAAUCCUUUUAAUUUUUAGAUUUGAAAAUUUAGAUCUAAUUGUUAACACUUUUUUUAUUAAAUUUUUUGUGUGACAUUUUGAAAUUUUAAAAAAAAAACUUUAUUUAAGAGUCGUAUAAUUAAAAAAUAAUAUUGUAAUUAACCUGAAUUUAACACACACAAAAAACCUAACAAGAUUAUAAGUAUAAAGAUUAAGUUUUAAAAUUUUGAGGAGUAGAAAUACUUGUAGGAUAUUUUAACUAAAAAACCUUUAAUAGCAUGCCACAUGCAUAAAAACAGGUGAAGACGAGCCAUGUAAGCCCAACCCAAGGCAUUAUUAUUCUCCACCGCAUGAAUAACGUCACUAUUGACGUGUUUUAGCUAUGUAUAUAUUUUGCUAUUAAUCCCUGUACAAUACAUAACUUGUCAAUUUAAUCCUUAUCUAUUUUUUAUCAAUUUUAAUUUUAUAUAUUUCAAAUAUGUCGAUUUUAGUUCUUAUACUUCUAAAAAUUUAAAAUUUUAGUAUUGAUUCAAACAGAAGCAGUUAAAUCCAUUUGGAUAAAUGUUGCUAUUAUUUCAUAUUCUCUAAUUUUAUCAUUCUUAGUCAUUAUAUAUAUAUAUAUAUAUAUUGAAUUUUAAAAUUUCAAUCUUAACGCAAAUGACAGCUGUUAAAUUCUUUAAUUGACUUUUUUGUGAGUAAUAUAUGAAAAUAGUAAGUUGACUUGGCAUUACAUAUGUGAUGAUAUAUUUGCUGCAUAACAUUUUGGAAAUAACAAAACUUUAAAUUGUUACGAAAUGGUCACUAACAUUAUUGAUUUGUAACAUUUUAAUCACGGAGCUUAAAAUUUUUCAAAAAAAUAUAUAGGGACUAUCUGUGCAAUUUGACUUACAAUUUUCACUUGAAAUGAUGAUUUAACAUGCCACGUUAACUUUCCAUUACACCAUUAACAACUUAGUGAUCAAAAUGUAAAAAAUUAAUAAUGUUCAUAGAUAUUUUGUAACAAAUUAAAGUUCAGUGACCAAAAAGUAAUUUAAAUCAUACAUAAGUGACUAUUUUGUAGUUUACCCUUUUUGAAAACUUGUAAUUAAUAGAUUAAUGUUCGAACUUAUACAAUUAAAAAUUGUCGUUACAUGCAUUAAGGAGUGCAUUAGUUGCUCCCCAACAAACAACAAGAAGGUUAAUUACCACUAACGGUGGGGAGCUUAAUUAACCAAAACCAUCAUAAUCAUGGUGUUUGCUUAAUUAAUUACUUAAUCAAUGAAGACUGCAAAAAUUAGAAGUUAAUCAAAUUGGUAUUUGACUUUGUGAACUAUUCAAUUAGUUUCUGGUUAAAUUACACCCAAGGUCACUAAACUAUUAGUAAGUUUAUGUUUAAGUCACUAGACUGUUAAAAUCGUUGUUGUAUGACAUUCUCUGUUCACACUGGUUGCACCAAUCGAAAACUCUCCUUCCCUUUGUCUUCUACCGUUCAAUUUUUAUUUUAUUUUAUGAAACAACUUUAAAUGUCACGAAUUGCACUGAAUCUAAAGUUUAUUCAUCUACUCAUACCGAUCUCAAAUCGUUGCUCGGAACUCACAAUUUUAGAAGUUAAUAAAACUGAGUGAUUAAAUCAAGCAGAGUUAAUUUACCUUAAUUUUUAACUUUAUUUUAUAACAUUUUGCUCUCUAUGCGAAUAGAGUCUGUCCUCUCACUCUACCAAAUUACCAAUCCACAUUUAUAAUUCAUAAUAAUUUCGUAUUAAAUGCAAUAACUAUCAAUAAUUCAUUUCCGUAUGAAACAUUGAAGGCUCAUGAGCAUGAGAAAAUGAAAAAACUGUACCAAUCAAAUUAAACAAAUUGUUAAAUUAUUACAUCAACUCGAAGGAAAAUGUCUCACCGACCAGACCUUUUUUCAAUUUUUUGUUUAAAAAAUUAUUAUUAUUAUGUUUGUCUACAAUUGGUGUAUAAGACAAACGUAGAUGAAUUUUCCAUUCCUUCUUCCUCUUUAGUCAAAACCCUUGCUAAGAGAAGAAGUGAGAAAUUAUAUAAUGUUUUGUGUAUAUUCAUAAAUUAUUAUGUGUUGUUGCCAACAUCAACCCUAUCACCAGCCAAUUUCUUCGUCUUUUUAUUUUUAAUAUUCAAUUGAAAAACAGCGUUGCAAAUUAUUUAGAGUGUUUACAUUUUGAAAGAACUCAUCAUCUGCCUCUUUUUAACACUAUGUACACGUGCCAUACAAGUUCCCAUGUGACAUGUUUCUAUUUUUAAUUGGGCUGUUUUUUGGAUUGAGAAAAUUUGACUUUGAAUUAUUAUUGGUUUUAAAUGUUUUGUGUUUGAAUUUGUAUGAUUAAUUACAAGUUUGAAUUCAGAUUGUUGUUAUGUUAACAUGUUUACAUAUAAAUUAGAUAUCCCAAAAAAGUUCAGAGAAAAAAGAUUAUAAUUGAUGAAAUUCCAAUGCACGAUGUAUCCCAUAAUUUAAAGACGAGUAUUGGGUUUCAUAUUUUACCAUUGGGUUAAAAUAUUAUUUACAGAUUUAGAAUUUAAGUUUUAUAUUUUUAUUUUUAGAAAUUUGGUUCACAUUUUAGAUUUUAAAAUUCAAGUUUAACUGUUAAUCUUUUUUUUUUGGUUAAAUUAAUUAGUAUGAUAUUUUGAAAUUAAAAAAAAUUAUUUGGUAGCAAUGCGAUCAAAAAAUGGCGUUGCAAUGAAUCUGAAUUUAAUAAAAUAAUUUUAAUAGUGUUAACAGUUGAGCUUGAAAUUUAAAAAAGACUAAAUUUUUAGAAAUAAAAAAAAAGACUAAAUUCUAAAUUUAUAAAAAAUGUAAGGACUUAAAACAUAUUUUAACCUUUGCCACUGUUUUUGAGCUCUAAAAUCCAAGUCACAUAAAGGGAUGGGGCCAGGCGGAAUUGGUUGGGUAGUCACAUACACUUCAAUUUAGUGAAAGCAAUGGUGUUAUCUUUUAGCUUAAAAGGUCAAAUUUCUCUUAGAGGAUUCUCAAAAUGAAAAAAAAGGCCCAAAAGUUCAUUACCCCCCACACAAAGCUUCUAAUUACUUCACAAUGGGGGAAAGAUAAGCCUCCAUUAUGACAAAAAUUGGGUAAUAUUUUAAUCCCUACUAGCUAGCUAGCUAAGUCACCUAGUCUUGAAUUUUGCUGGUAUUUAUGUCAAAUAAUCUUUAUGUGGGUUAAUUACAGUAUUAUUAUCAGACUGAAAGGUCCACUAUUUGGGUUCUUCAAAUCAUAAUUAAAUUGCAUUGGAAAUUGUUUUCAACUAUUAUCGUUACUAUUAAUUAUUUUAUUCAACCAGUUUACCACCACACCUAAAUUUACACGUAAAUAUAUUAGUAAAAAUAUUAUGGUUGUUUUUAUUAAAAGUGAGAUUUAUUUUUUUGUUCAAAAUGAGAAAUUUAGCUUUUAUACGUUAGAUUAAAGUAUAAAAUAGUCACUUCUGUUAAUUUUUUUAUCCAUUUUUACUGUUAAAAAUUGGUGUGAUUGACAAAAUAAUCCAGAUAAUUACACGUGGUGUGCCAUGUGUACCUCAUGCCGACGUAUGAGGACCAAAUUUUAACAAUUGAGAUAGAUAGUUACUCUUUAAUCUAAUAUAUAAUGAUUAAAUUACAUAUUUUUUUGAAUAAAAAAAGUAAAACACAAUCAAACACCUAAUAUAAUAAUUUCCAUAGUACUUUUACCAAAUUAAUAUAUCAUAUAUUUGCAUUAUUAGGGUAAGGUGUUCUAAAUCAUAAAAAAAAUGAAAAAAGAAGCUUGUGCAUAACAAAGAGAAAUUUAAAGUUUUCUUUUGGUCAAUUUAUGGUUUUGAUACCUUUAUUAUACUCAAAUUUAAGAUUUAAUAUUUAUACUUUAAUUUUAGCAUAACUUAGAUUAUAUUUUUAUAAUAUCAUUAGUUCAUCCAAAAAAAAUAACAUCAUUAACUAUUCUAGUUAGAACGACGACGUGAUUUUGUCUUAAAAAUAACUUCUCUAAUAUAAAAAAGACUAUCAGCUUAAUGAGAUGCAAUAAAUGUCUUUAACAAAAAAAAUCGAUAUCAACAUUUUAAUCGAAACAAUUAACUGUAUUGGCAAAGACAACCCUAAAGGACAAUCAAGUGCCCAUCAAUAUAGUUUAAUUCUUUUAAAAAUUGUAAAAUUUAAAAGUUAAUAUAUUAGUAAAAUUAUAUCUUGGUCCAUUAAAAAAUUUAACAAUUCAAUUUUAACUCUCCAGAGUACAUGUGCGCAUGCAGAAACUCCCUAGUGCUAUUCACCCUUUAGUCUAGUCGUUGUGGGCUAAGGUAAAAUAAUUCCCCAUUAAUUGACCUCUAUGAUUCGUAUAAAUGACUUUUUGAACAUUAAUUUCAUUAUAAAUUCGUAUCAUAUUUACUCUUUUUGAUAUAAUACCUAGAAUUACCCAUAGCCCAUCCCCAACCCUUAAAUAAGAGGAUAAUGCGUUUUAACACACUCAAACUCACGUCUUUCUGCAUCGAUAAUAAUACUAAUACCAAUUGAACUAAGAUUCAAUCGAUACUAAACUAUAGAUUUAAAUGUAAUAAAAAACCAAAAUCAUAACUUGAGAUUAUCUUAUAAUGCAUGUGCGCAUGCAAAACUCCCUAGUGCUACUCACCCUUUAGGCUAGUUGUUGUGGGGUAAGAUAAAAAUAUUCCAUGUUAGCGUAUGUGACAUUAGGCUAUAAACAUAAGGUCAGCGUUAAAAGCCAUAUAUGGUCCUUUCCUUUGUUGUCUUAGUGAUUGGUAAUUUGGUAUCACCCUAACUUAACUAAUAUUUUCAAGCUCAAAGCUAGGGAGAUGGCGGCGAUGGCAAAAGCCUAUUACUGGUUUUUUUAGUAGCCAUGUUCAUUGAGUCCUAAAUGAGUUGAAAAAUGUAUUAAAAAAAAAAAAGGGUAAAGUAUUCGUUCAAUUGUGGGUUUUUUUUGGCCACUCAACUUUGGAAAGUUAUAAAAUGGUCAUCUAAUUAUUUUAAUUUUGUCUUUUUCGGUCAUCAGUUAGUUAAUGUAAAAAUGGAAGCACCCAAAAAUUCAAGAUAGUUGAGUGACCAAAAAAGACAAAAUUAAAUUGUUGAGUGAUCAUUUUGUAUUUUUCAUAGUUGGGUGAAUAAAAAAAAGAAAUUUACUAGUUGAGUGACCAUUUUGUAACUUUUCAUAGUUGAGCGACUAAAAAAGAAAAAAAAACUAUAAUUGGAUGACUUAUCCUUAAAAAACAUAAAAUGCAUAAUAAUAAAUUUAGUCCCUCACGUGUUUGUUUCUUUGAUCAAUUUGGUCCUUAAUAUUUUUUUUAGCUAAAUUUGACUUUAAACAUACUAAAAAUAGUCGAAUUAUUAUUAUUUUUAAUGGAAAUACUAACUAAAACAUUAAAUUUUAAACAUGACAGCUUGUAUGACAAUCCAAAUGUACUUUAUUUUUCUUUUUAGAAUUUUGAGUAUAUAUUUUUUAUUUUUAAACUAUUUAUUGACAUAAUAUAUAAAAUAAAAAAUAUCAUCUCACAAUGAAAUGCACGUGAAAUGAUAAACAAAUAGUGAUGCUAAAAAUUUAAUAUUUUAGUAAGAUUUUUUUAAAUUUAAAUUUAAAAAUAUUAAAGCUCUAAAAACCUAAGAGAAUUACUCCACGUAAUAUAUACUAUAUGAUUGGUGCAAAUCAUUAUCCUAAAGUCACUGUUUAAUACUGCUGCAUAUAGUAUAAGGUAGUUCAACUUAUUUAUUUCAAUAAUUUUCCUCUUUUAAGUCAGUCACUAAAUGAUCUGCCACUUCUGCCAGCUGCAAAUGGUUCAAUGGGAAAUCGCCAUCUCUUGGCCAUUAUCAUGUUCCAUCUAAUGGGUAGUGGCGGAGCUUACUAGAAAUCAGGCAUCUGGCAAAUUUUUAAUUUAAAAUUUUUUAUAAUUUAUAAAAUUUUAAACUAGUCCUUUAAUUUCUCUAAAAAUGAUCAUUUAAAAAUUAUAAAUAUAUAGAUUAUUAAAAUGAUAAAAUUUUAUUUUUAUUAUCGUAAAAAUAUAUAAUUUAAUUCCGGCCUUAAAAAAAUAUUUUCUGACUGCAAGUAAGAUUGGAACUUAUCAUCGCCUCAGUUGCAAUCGUUAUUAUCCACAAUUUAAUUUUAAUAAUGUUUCAUAAGAAAAUGAAAAGAAAAAGUGUUUUUGUUUGCAUUGAUGUAAAUUAAUCAUGUUAUAAUAAAAAGACACCUUGGAGAUUAAGACAGGCAUAUCACGACAUUAACAUACUGCUUUUUCAAUUGUCCAUCUUUAACAACGACCUGUUUCACUGCUUCUUAAUGCAAGAAGAUGAUUUAAUUACUAUUUCCAUUUUCCAUUUAAUGUAAGAAAGGGCGUGAGUGAGAUCAUAUCAGCAUUAUUCAUGUACAUGUGUGUGUGAGAGAAAUUAUAUCUUAUCAAUGGAUGAUUCAAAAAGAAGACAGUUGGCCAUUGAUGGGAAUGCCCGUCAUCUCUUAUGAGGGGAACUAUGUCCCACACUUGGCCAUCGUUGGAACUUCUAAGUCUUCAUAGAUGUGAUAACAAUAGUUUCUAAAUAAUCUUCCCAAAAACUUGAAACACAUUCUUAUAACAAUGAUUGCUUCGAGGAAUGUAAGAUUACGUUUUAUAAUAUAAUUACGAGAAUGUAAAUCUCAAAAAAUGUAAAUAUUACAAUACAUUGUUUAGCUCAUUUACUGCUACAUCCACCAAAUCAAUAGAGGUUGUAAAAAGUUAAAAGUAUUAUAAAAGUUUAAAUUUUACAAUUUAUGAAAAAUGUGAAUUUGAUCCAUGUACUUUAAUCUGAUUAAUUUUAAUCAUUGUAUUUUUUGAAUUAAUCAAUUUUAAUCAUAUCAAUAGCAACAAUUAAAUAUAUUUGGUUAAAUUCGAUCAUUAUGUCGAAACCGUUUUUUUUGAAAACCAAAAAUUUGGUUGUCGACUUUAAAAACAAAAUAAAACUGGAGUCGCCACCGAUCCUUUAUUAAGGUGUGACCGGCCCACCUCAAAAAUCAUUUUGGUCUGCAAAUUUUGAAAACAGGUUCGGGAGUCAGUUACGCACGAGGAAGGGUUAGCACCCUCGUAACGCCCAAAAAUCGGUACCAAAUUGACUAUUUAAUGUCUUUGUGUCGAAAGUUAAAAAGAUUUUAAAAAUAAGCUUGAAUGGUGAAAUUGGCAAAAGGAUAAUCAAUUGUUCAAGUCAAGUAAAGAAAUCGAGUCCCAAUACGUUAGGGUACGAUUCCUCAUAAUCCCCGAACUCUGAAUAUCACUUUUAUUUUAUACAAAAAUCUUCAUUCCAAGAAAGUAACAUGCCACACCCAAUACGUUAGGGCACAACAAGUUAAGUUCCCAAAAAUGUUCUCGGUCAUUUAGGAUUGACAAAGAAAAUCAGAACCCAAUACGUUAGGGCUCAAUCCCCCUCAAAAAUCCCAAACUUCCAAAAAAUGCUUUCAUUCAAAAACCUUUAAAUAAAAAAAACUUUGAUGAAUGGUUAAAACCAAAAUAUAUUUUCAAAAGGGUAUGUUAAAAGGUCAAUAUGUAAUAUGAUACAAAUCCUUUAAUUUACAGCAUAAAUAAAUAUUUGCAAAUAUAUACAUACAAAUACAUUAUACAAGUAACUUGCAAAUAUGUGUACACAUAUAUUUAAUACACCUAUACAAGGAUAAAAAAAAUGGAAUGGAGUGUAUCAAUCAAAACUAAUAAAAAACAUGCAUAUAUAUAUUUGAAAAUAAAAAAUACAAAAUGUAUAUGCAUAUGUAUAUGAAUAUAUAUAUUUACAAAAAUAAAAAAAAAUAUAAAUAUGCAUAUAAUAUAAAGUAUACAAGAGUUAAGAAAAUAGAAAAAAACGUAUAUGUAAAUUCAUGCACACAUUUAUAAAGGCUUAAAAUUAUAUAUAUAUAAAAAUAGAAUAUGCAUAUAUAUAUUACACAUAAAAAAUAGACGUAUAUAAUAAUAAUAAUAAUAAUAAUAAUAAUAAUAAUAUUAUUAUUAUUAUUAAUAUUAAUAAUAUCAAUAAAUAGAAUAAAAUAAAAAAAUGACAUAGCAUGAUUAUGAAAAAAAAUGGAUUAAAUUGAGUUACAAACGAAAGAAUGGGGCAAAUUUAAAAUAAAAAAAUUUAAAAAAAAAGAAAAAGGGACCCACUCGAACGCGCGCGUAACCAUGGAGGACCAAAAGGGAUAUUAUCCCAUCCUUCCAAUGCGCUGCGCAGGGAGGGACCUAAUUGAAACAAAAAGAAAUAUGCGGCCUAAAUUUCAAAAAACAAAAGGGCUUGACUGAAGCGCGUUGCAGCUAGCAGGGACCAUUCGCGCAAUUAUACCAUCCAAGCCCAGGACACGCGGAUCCUCCCCGGGUCGGGUCACCGCGCGGGUAUAGCCCUAUACGGCGUCGUUUUGGGCCACUGAAACAGGCCCUAUACGACGCCGUUUCGCAAUCGUUUGAAAACCCAGAAAUUUUCCAAAAUCCACUCAUUUUCCCUUUUUUCAAACAGCAGAGGAGACCUCUGCUAGGAUCUCAUACCCAAACACCCCCUCAGCGCCGCCGUUCACGCCUUCGCCUCAAGCCUCGGCCCUCCGCCGACCGCGGCGAUCGUGGGCUUCACCGGCGAAGCCUCGAAGGUAACCCCUCACCCCUUUUAUUAUUUUUUUAAAACGAAAUAAAAAGAAAAAGAAAAAAAAUAACGAAAAAGAAAAACAAAAUUAAAUUUCACCUUGAAAAAGAAAAAAAAAUUGCACUUCGUGUUUUCUUUCUCUUUUUUGUAUUUUUUCGUGUCUUUACACCAAAAAUCCCCCCUCUCCUACAGUGCUUGAGAUUGGCCUUUUUAUAGUCGAAAAUGGAAAAGAAAAAGAAAUAAAUAAAAUAAAAUAAAAUCCCACCCAAUCUAUUCUGUUAUUUGUUGGCAUUAUAUUGCCCGAUUUUUGCUAUCCUGUUUGGCUUCCUUUUCCUUGUUUGUUGUUUGUUGUUGCAGGUACAAACGUGACGUACGGAACGGCACACGCUGGGGAGGGUCGUGCUGCGACAUUUACGGCGGUGGGUGUGCAGACGGAGGCGCGCAAAGAGGUAGCAGUUGCGGCGGCUAAGGCUGGGGGCUACUAGGGUUUAUUUUUUUGUGUAUUUUAGGCUUGUGGGUUGAAAAGUAUUGGGCUAGGGUUAAUUUUAUUGGGCCCGAGCAUAUUUGGGCUCUACACAUUAAUCUUAUAAGUAAAAUUGUAAGUUUGAUCAAUAUUCUCCAAUUAGAUCGUUCUAAGUCUUUAUACGUUUUGAAUUUGAAAUUUCAAUAUUGACACAAACAACAAUAGUAAAUCCAUUAACUUGUUUUUUAGUAAAUAAUAUGUGAAAUUAGCAAGCUAAUAUGACAUUAUACAUGAUAAUAUGUUUGACACAUCAUAAUUUAAAAAUAGCAUAACUUGAUAAAUUUAAUGAUUAUCGUUUGAUGAUGGCUAAAGCUUUAAAAUUUAGAAAGUAUUGGGACUAAAUCUACAACUUUCUUUCACAAAAUACAAAGACUAAUAUUAGGAUUUAACCUAUUAUAAAAGUCAUUAUAUAUCUUAUACUUAGGGUCAAUGAAGAAACUUUAGAGAUUGUCCGGCAUAGUGAACUGCUAGCUUCCAGAGAAAAAGAGGUCCGGGAUGGGAUAUUCUCUCUUACUAUUUCUACUGGACAUCAAGGUUUUGGACUUGAGGUCGAACCGAUCAAACCACCAGUUUGUCAGUCUAACUGAUUUACUCGGUCUACUCAGUUUGAUUAAAUCCAAUAUUAAAAAUUCAAAAAAUCCAAUGCAACCGCCAUGUUCAACCAGUCUUUUGCCCGAUUCAAACAUCAUUGCAAGACCCUUUUCACGGUAUUCAAUGAAAAAAAUGUUUGCUUGAAACUAAAAUCAAAAGUCAACUAUAAACUGACAGAUUUAGCAGCAGGGAAGAUCAGCAAGAAAAAGGUUAACUAGAAGGGAUCCCAAAUAGCAGACACAGAGAGAGAAACACACACACAGCAAUGAUGUCAUGAGAGAAAGUGAAAUCAAUUAUGCUUGAAGAGUUUUCAUUACACAAAAUAAUUCAAUCAUCUUAUGAAUUAGUUUGAUUGGUUUAUGCUUCCCCUUUUAAGGUUCGAACUUACGUGUUCACAAUAGAGACAAGUCAGAAAUUUCACAAGGAAACCACAAUUAUAUUAAUCAUCCAUACUUUAUAAUAACAUACUAACUAAUCAUUUCCAAAAAAGAAAAUAAGUCUAUAUGAACAAGGCGUUCACACAUUGUAGGAGAAAAGACAAGUUGAUGAUUUCCCCUUAACAAAAUUUGCUUAGAAUAAGGGUCCCAAACCUUCAACUCCGAGCUAUCGACGAGCUUUUUAGGCUACUCUUUCCUAUUGCCUGUAAAAAGUCACCAAUUUAUUGGGAUUGAUAAUCAUUCUCUAAUAAGCCUUGGCCAUUUCUAUAUAUACCCAUGAAAACGCUAAGUUUUUUCUCUACAUAUAUAUAUCAUUUCCAUACCCUACAACCAAUAUGCUCCGAAGAUCUGAAAUCCGGUUUCCUCUACGUAAAGGCUCUAUAUACGUCAAGAGGCACAUGGAGCAAGUAAAGCUAACAAUGUAGGGUCUCUCAUCAGAAAACAUAUAUAAUUGCAAUGUUCACCAUGUACUAUACUGAAACUUGAAGUCAGAAAAGGCAUGAUUAUCUACUCAAUAUCCAUCCAUAUUCAUUUAUAAAGCGAAAAAAAGACACUUGAAUAUAAAGUCUUUACCAAUUUAUAAAACUAAAAGCCUAUGCAAGUUGAAAAACGACCAAGCCCAACCUAAAUUCUUGAAAGCUUUGCUUCAACAGCAUCUUAGUUUCUUCCAUCGACUGAUACCAAGCUCUCCACAUGACUGUAACAUUGUAAAUAUAAAUCAACACAAUCGAUCGGAAGCCUUUUAGUUCGUUCGUCGAUUGGAUCAUACAAGAAAAGCUUCGGGUGAUUGUCUCGAUCACCCAUUUGUUUAAUCAUCAGUUCACGAUCUCUCCAAGUCCCCAUUGGAACCAAAGACUUUGAGAAAUUCUCGGCCAAAACAACAUUAGUCCAAUGUUUCCUCCCAUCCUCGCAAUCACUCAAUACUGAGAAUUCGAAACGGUUCAUAUUAUUACCAUUGGCUGCAAAAACUAAAGGGUAUACAGCAAUAGCUAAUAAUCCCAUGUAAGACAUCACUUUAACAUUGCCAAUUCGAGUCAGUGCUGGCAAUGGUAUUGUCUUAAACACUUCCCUUCUCAUAUCAAAAGAAAUCACAACCUUUCUAUCGGCAUAUCGUUGUAAUCCAAUGGCUACCCAAUUCAAACUACCAUCAACAACAACAACACCAUCUUGUCCUCCACAUAUUAUAGCUGAAUCAAAACAUACAGUAUCUUCUAAUUCCUUCCAAAACCCUUCUUUCCAUGAAUAAACUUCAGCUCUCACAAAGGGUAAACCAUCAUUUCUUUUAAAAGAAACGAUCCUAACUAGCUUAUAAUCAUUAUUGAAUGAAUCAAACCCAAAACCAACAAAGACUAACCAAAUAGGGUUACUUCUAGUUGAAGCAAUCAAAGGGAAAGGUAAGCGUUUGAAUUGUUUAGUCCCAGGGUUCCAUAAAACAAAAUCAGAAGCAUAACAAGGGGAAACAUCGAGACAAACCAAACCACCGAUUGAACCCACGAUUUUCGGGAACAGAGGAAGCGGUUCAUCCAAAGGAACAGCCAAAUGCCGGCAAGCGAAAUUCUGGGUCGGGUCAGUGAUCAGCAAGAUCACAGAGUCGAAACCGGAUUGGGUGUUGUAACAGCGGACGAUUAGAGACGGGUCGGAAGAAGAACGGCGGAGAUGGUCGGAGACGAAAGCUGGGGUGGAAGUGAGGUAAGCCCAGUCCUUGGAAACGGAUUUGAAUCGGGUCAAGGACUUAACGGGUAAUCUAGAAAGGAUAUCGGAAAUGGUAGUUUGGGGUAAUGACAAUGAGGAAGCCAUAGUUCUCAGCCUUCUUCCUGAACAAGAAGAAUUCAUUCGAGGGUUUUUAUUUGUUCUUCUUUUGUGGGUGUUUGGGUCAGUUUUUAGUCUUCUCCCCCCCAACGGAGUUGAUUUUGUGGGGUAAAGAGAGCAGGAUUUUUCUCUGUUUUGUUUAGGCUGUUUAGGGAUAUAUUGAUAAUAAAAUGAUUCUUAUUAGGGUUUAAGGAGUUUUUAAUAAUUGGAUAAUUAUUGUUUUAUUCUUCUAAUUUGUGAUUUAUCUUUUUUUUAAUUAUUUGAUUAAAUCAUUUGACGAAUUUUCUAAGCUUGACUUAAUAAAAUAAAAAUCUGAAAUCAAAUAUUAUAGUAAUCAAAUUAUAAUUUAUUGAUUAUAUAUUUAAAUUCAAAAUAAAAAGUGAAAAUAUAGCGAAUAUCAACACCAUUCAUUAUCACUAACAAAGAUUUCCUAAAUGUUAAUGCUAAUCAUUCAAUUAUUAAAAUAUAUUCUAAUCCCUAAUAAAAUGAUUUUUCGAUUAAAAUUUUACUUUUUGGUCACCUAAUUAUAAAAAGUUACAAAAUAGUUACUCAAUUAUUCAAUUUUAUCGCCAUAAUUAAAAUUGACAUAAUAACAAUUUAACUCUUAAUAUUUAAAUAAAAAGAAAUAAAAUAGUAUAUUAAUAUAUAUAAGUAAUAAAAUUAUAAAAUAAUAUAAUAAUAAAUUUAUAUAAUAUAAAUAAUUUAAUUUUUUAAUAAGAGUAGAGACUAGAGAGGACUUAUCUAUUUUUUACAGAUAAAUUUACUAAAAAUGCCAGAAGAAGAAGAAAAUAGGGAAAUGGGUCACUUUGUUGUACAUCUAGGGAAAUAGGUAAAUUUUGAAGGGAGAAAGUGCGUUUUUAAUAUUUAAUUUUAUUUGAUUAGAUGGUUUUAU
rnacentral:lncRNA from 1 species